CGUUGCUGAGGAUUUAAGCUGGAGAGACAAGCUAUUGCUAUUCCAAAGACUGGAAGCAUGGGAAGAGGAGGUUGAAGUGUGGGUUAUAAUAGAUUACUUCCCUCUGCCAAAGGACAAUCCAGAACUUCGCAGUGUCAACAUGUGAGCUUCAUCUGGAGUGGGCUCCACACUUGGAGCCCAACAAGGGGCUUGAAUUCACAAUCCUGAGAUCAAGACCUGAGCUGAGAUCAAGAGUCGGACGCUUUACCGACUGAGCCACCCAGGCGCCCCAAGAGUUCUUUGUAAUUCUGGAUACUGAUCCUUUGUCAAAGGGAGACACAGCGAGAGAGGGAACACAAGCAAGGGGAGUGGAAGAGGGAGAAGCAGGCUUCCAGCUGAGCAGGGAAGCCCGAUGCGGGGCUCCAUCCCAGGACCCUGAGACCAUGACCUGAGCCGAAGGCAGACGCUUAACGACUGAGCCACCCAGGCACCCCGACGUGGAUUGUUUUUGACAAAUACAAUACAGUACUGUAAAUGUAUUUUCUCUUAUUUAAGAUUUUCUUGUAACAUUUUCUUUUCUCUAGCUUAUUUUAUUAUAAGAAUGCAGUAUAUAAUACACAGAACAUAUGAAAUAGGUAUUCAUUGACUUUAUGUUAUCAGUAAGGCUCUGGUCAACAGUGGGCUCCUAGCAGUUAAGUUUGGGAGGAGUGAAAAGUUAUACACGGCUUUUCAACUGUGUGGGAAGUCAGUACCCCUAGCCCCUGUGCUGCUCAAGGGUCCACUGUACAUGGGCUACAACCUUAUUUCCAAGGACGGUCACAUCUGAAGUAGUGGGGUUUAGGGCUUUAACAGAUGAUUUUGGGAGACAGACAUAACAUCAUCACAGGAAAUCUAGAGAUAGAAGAACAAGUGCAAUACCACCACAAGGAAAUAACCAAAGACAAAUCCAGGAUGUGAGACUUUCUACGUGUCUUCACAAAGAAAAUGCCAUUUAUAAAAAAGAAGUAGGGGGACUAUUUUAAAAAAGACUAAAGAAACCAAAUGCAUGAGCUGUGAUUGGAUCCUGGUUGAAAAAAGAAACUGCUAUAAGACAUCAUGGUGGAAACUGGGAAGAUUUGAAUACGGACCGGGUAUUCUGAGAGUUAAAUGAUAUUAGGGAAUUCCUGUUAAUUUUCUCAGGGGUGCUAAUUAAUAUUAGGAGAGUUAUAAGAGAAUGAACUUAUAGGGGCGCCUGCGUGGCGCAGUCGGGUAAGCAUCUGACUCUUGGUUUCGGCUUAGGUCCUGAUCUCAGGGUCCUAUCUUAGGGUCGUGAGAUCAAAUCCCGCGGUACUUAGCACCGCGGAGUCCACUUGGGAUUCUCUCUCCCUCUGCCCCUCCUGCUCAUGUGCACAUGCUCGCUCUAUCUCUAAAAUAAGUAAAUAAAUCUAUUUUAAAAAAAUAGGAAAAAAAGAGAAUGAACUUAUAUUAGAAUAUGCAGCCUGAAGUUAUUUGAAGAGUCAUGAAGUCUCCAAUUUACUUUUAAAUAGCUCAGCAAAAAAUUAUUUUAAUUAAUUAAAAAAUUAAAUAUAUAUAUUAUAUGAAGCAAACGUGUAUAUAUCGUGU